GCUGUGGUAGUGUUGUGGUUAGCAUUUCUGCCUAGCAAGCAAGAAGGCCCGGGUUUGAGUCCCGGCCGCAGCA